CGCGGGAUUAGAGUUUGAUCCUGGCUCAGAUUGAACGCUGGCGGCGUGCUUAACACAUGCAAGUCGAGCGGUAACGCGGGAGCAAUCCUGGCGACGAGCGGCGAACGGGUGAGUAAUGCUUGGGAAUCUGCCCAUUAGUGGGGAACAACCAGCCGAAAGGUUGGCUAAUACCGCAUACUCCCUACGGGGGAAAGCGGGGGAUCGUAAGACCUCGCGCUAAUGGAUGAGCCCAAGUCUGAUUAGCUUGUUGGUAGGGUAACGGCCUACCAAGGCGACAAUCCGUAGCUGGUCUGAGAGGACGACCACCCACACUGGGACUGAGACACGGCCCAAACUCCUACUGGAGGCAUCAGUGGGGAAUAUUGGACAAUGGGGGCAACCCUGAUCCAGCAACACCACGUGUGUGAAGGAGGCCUGUCCGGUUGUAAAGCACUUUUAGUGGGGACGAAAAGCUCAGGGUUAACACCUCUGGGUCUUGACCUAACCCACAGAAUAAGCACCGGCUAACUCUGUGCCAGCAGCCUCGGUAAUACAGAGGGUGCAAGCGUUAAUCGGAAUUACUGGGCGUAUAGCGCGCGUAGACUGUUACAUAACUCGGGUGUGAAAGCCCCGGGCUCAACCCAGGAAUUGCAUU
rnacentral:rRNA from 1 species